GCGUCAGUUUUCUACCUUCGUAGCUGAUGAUCAUGUCCUAUUUAAGCAUGAUCUAAUUAAACAAGGUAUGGGGCAGGGCCAGAUGUAAAAAUAUCAUAGAGAAUCAAGACUCUGCAGCUGCAACGCUCACUUUACUAUUUAUUUUUGGUUCAUUUUUGCAUAUUGAUAGUACAAAAGAGCAGAUAUGACAGAACAAGUAUUACAAUAAAGCAAUAUCUAAGCAUCUGGCUCUAAGCUCUAGAAAACUGACGCCAAAAUAAGUGAGUGUCCACCAUAGAUCUCUGAUGGCUCUUUUGUACUCUUCAUGUACUAGAAAAAGGAAAGACAGACAGUUUUAGCUUGAAUAUGAACAUUAUCAUUGCCUGUAUUGAUACAAACUCUUCAUUAACUUACAAUGGCCAUGAAAUACAUUAUCUCAUGAAUAAUUAAUGAGCAAACACUAUAUCCUAACCUAGGUUAUCUCUUUCCUUGGCAAUCUGUUGUAGAAAUUACAACAACGGUAACGAAUCGUUAUGAUGAAUUAGAUGAAGUUGUAUGUGAGCUCCUCCCUGACAAACAAACUGUAGUCUAGGUAACGGCCUUAUCAGUCAAGUAGGCUAAAAAUCUGUGUCCUUUGAUGUAAGCUUUGAUGUCUCUUUGUGCAUAUGUAGUUUAAAAAAAAAAAAAAAAAAAAGAAACCUUUGACUAGCUAGCUAGGAAGAGUAGCAGCAGUAGUAGUAGGAAGAGUAGCAGUAGUAGUAGCAGUGCAAGCAGGACUAGACUAGAUUAAAAAGUUGGUGGAACGAAAGCUGACCGUUUGGACGUCACCUGGCUGCCAGACUUUCAUCUGGACUCUUCCCCCUGAGUAGCUGGCCUUUCUCUAAGCCACAAAACUGAGCAAGAAGCUGAAGAAGCAGCUAGACAGAGACAUGUACCUAGCCUUGAGAAUUGGGAGGUGUGGCUCAACUAGUUAGCCCAGCCCAGAGGAAUUGUUACCGUGGGUACUGAACAACCGUAGAAGUAGGGCUACCCCUGGCUUUACUGAAUUAACUAGCUGUGUCUGCUGUCUAGUUGGACCAGAUUUAGCUAGAUAAUGGGGUAGAGAAUAGUUGAGCGGUGCUGUGUGUAGCUUGAACUGUACUGGCUGGCAAGAAUCUAGGAUCUGGACAGCUGUACAUCCAAAGGAGCCAGGGAGUGCCAAUCAUCUUCUCCCAGUCUCUGACACGCUAAACAAAACGAGCUAGAACUGGGAGUCCCAGCUAGAAUUGCUAGCCGGAUCUAGACUAAUAGAAUGACAUGGAGGCGUGGUGAGGCCGGAUCCACACUAAUUGAUCGACCUAAAGACGCUCCUGUUCCAGACUUUCACGAAUGGUAAGGAAAGGGUUAUGGGCAACAGUUGCACCUAUGCAUACACAUUUCGCUAUGAAUCUAAUUAUAAAACCUGUAAAGCCCACAAAAACACUCUCACAAUGGUGGUUCCAAUAGUUCUGCGUCAGUUUAUGAAGCACUGACAGUAUGACUUGCUCUGAAAUAUUGAUUUUAUAAUUAUAAGAAUGCUAGGGCAGGGCCAGAAACAAAAAAUGCAAGUAGACUCAUAAUUAGAGAAGAGUUAUUCUUGUUUUAGUCUGCUUUCUUUCUGCUCUACUGAGCAAUCCACGGUAUGUUCUCAAGUACUGAGCUCUCUAUGGAAUGAAAAAGGAGGAUCUGGUUAUUUCUGGCCCUCCAGUAGGUUGAUACCUUGCCAUGGAUACUGCAAGCCCCCCUGGUUCUGAGCCUUCUCCUGUCCAUAA